GUGCUUGUUUCAGCAGCACAUAGACUAAAACUGGAAUGAUACAAAGAUUAGCAUGGCCCCAACGCAAGGAUGACAAAUUCAUGAAGCAUUCUAUAAUUUU
ensembl:snRNA U6 U6 spliceosomal RNA